CUGUGCCCACCACUUAUCCUUACUAACUGUAUUUCUGUGUGGUAUGGCAACUGCAGUGCUGCUGACCGCAAAGCACUACAAAGCGUUGUCAAGUCUGCCCAAAGGACCAUUGGCUCCCAACUCCUCUCCAUUUAUGACAUUUAUCAUAAAUGCUGUCUGAACAAAACCAGAUCUAUUAUUAAGGAUGCCACUCACCCUAACCAUGAUCUCUUCACCCUCCUACCAUCUGGCAGCAGAUACAGGU